rnacentral:lncRNA from 1 species
CAGUCUGGUCAGCGCAUCUGUUUUGGGUACAGAGGGCCAUAGGUUCGAAUCCUGUCACCUUGAUGUGAUGGGCUGAAAGUGCACAGCCCGGCACAGCCUCUUUAGGCUGGUGAAAUUUAGGCACAAUUAAUUAAAAAAAGCAAAUUAAAUAUAUUCUUCGAUCCAUGCUUUUUGUAACUUCCACGGGUUUUGCGCAUCAAUGGGUUCUUGAUUCUGAUCACCCAUUCUUGAAGAAGCUUUCUCUCUCUCUUUUGGUUGGUUUCUCUGAUAAAAUUUUGAUCUUCUGAGUCAAUACAAUCAUAUCUUUCGCUUCUGUGGAUGCUG